rnacentral:lncRNA from 1 species
CUCUUUUCCCCUCCGCUCCUGCUCCAGUGGCACAAUGUGAUCCACCGGCAAGGAGGGACGCCAAUAAGGCGUCCGAUAAGAUAAGUCUUAUAAAAUAUAUAGAUUAUGAUAGUUAAGACUGAGCUAACAGAUGAGAAUCCUAGUCAUUGGCCAAGCAGCUUUAAACCUAAUACAAGUUUCUGUGUAUUCAUUUGGGUCUAACUCGGGCGGGCAGCUUGCGUAAAGCGUACAUGUGGCGAUGGGGCUCGGUGGCUUUUGGCAGAAAGAUUUAUCGUAACAUUUGCCUCCUGAGAAAUCUCACUAACUCCUGCUUGUUUCCUAACAGCCAUGGGAACUUUCAGCUAUGUGUUUUGGUAUGUUAUCACUGUGUACUGACACAGACCCCUCUACAUGUUAAGCAGUUGCACGAUCCCUGAGUUACAACCCCAGCCCAUUUUUAGAGUCUUUUAAUAGCAGAGGUGUUUGUUUCUUUAUUCAUGUACUUACUUAUUUUUGGACAGAAUCUUGCUACUAGCCCGGGCGACCGCCAAACUCACUAUCCUCCUGCCUCCGCUUCCAAUAUGCAGCACUCAAAGGCCAGAUUUAGAAAACAAAAUACUUGAAAGAAAGUAUGCAUGCAAAUGUAUAUUUGUGACAUCUGACGAGAGCCUGCGGACCGACACCAUCCCCAUUUGUGCCUGUGCCAGGCACCACUAGCUGAUGACGGCAUACUUUCCUCUGUGUUUUCCUAUGGCCUCAGGACCUCUUUUUGACAUAAAAGGAAUAAUCUGGAACCUAGUCCGUACAUUGCUCGUCCAAGAAGUCACAGAUACUAGGUGGGGAGGCUGUGUAUGAUUUUAUGGGGUGGGGACCAAAUAAGCUAUAUUUGAUUACUGUUACACAAACGAAUCCUGGUAUGAUAAGAACCAGAGAAGUUGAACAGGCUCUGGCAGGGAUUGUGGCAAAUGGCUAGCCAUGGUCUGAAGGAUGCUCCCCGGAGACAAGAGGACCAGCUGAGGCAUGCGGGCUAUCUUCUGAAGUUACUGUGCACAGGGUACCCUCCCCUCCAACUUCAAACGCCCAGAGAGAAACGAAACAGAGGCCCCUGCUUUGGACAGCGUAGGCACCUCAUGGAGAUGGCAGACUACUAUUCCAUGCUCCUUGGUCUAGGUCGGACAAAGAAGAGGCUGCUGGGGAAGGACAGAGGACAUGUGUUCCGUCCCUUCUGUGGCACUGUGCCCAAGUUCCGAUGUGCCUUAGAUGCAGUGUGAUGACUUGACCUGAGGAAGACAAUUCAGGUGGGAUUUCUGCUGCAUGGUUCCCUAUUGCUAGGAACAGACAUCUGCCAGAAUCAAACAUUUGUUUUAAUUGCCUUCACAUAGUACUGAAGUUUAACAGAGCUGUUUUUUUUAUUAUUAUUAUUAGAUCCAGAUCUAGUUUGCAUGCUUUUAGGUAUGAAAGCCUAAUGUAAUUACAUUAUUAUCUGAAAAAAAAGAUUCUUUUAUUAGUAUAACUUUCCUUUGAAAAUAAUACUGCUUUUUUAAUGACAUUGAAGUUUCUGCUGGUGCUUAGAAAAAUGCCCCCUCCCUUGUGAGUGAAUAACCACAGGAAAGUAUUUGCUCAUCACGUGUGGACUCAACUUCUUUGUAAGUCUUAAUAUUUAUGGUGUAGGAGGGACGAAGUUCAGUGAUUCAUAGAUUUACACUUAGCAGAUAGAUUAAGAAUGAAAAUUAAUACCACAGCUUAAGGAAUGGGAGAAAUGUGACGUGUUACACAUUUGUUUUCUAGGUCAGUGUUUUCUCAGCCACUCUGCAGUCUUGGGGUCACCCAGGGUUUCCUUGAAGGAAGGGGGCACCAUGAUAUGUGUUCAUCUUGAAUUUUAAAAUUAUCUGCUGUUUAUAAACAACACAGCCAACCACUGUGAAGGCUGCUGCUCUGGCAAGUGUCAAGUAGGAACCUGGAGUGUGAGCUCUGUUACCCUGGAGUGUGAACUCUGUUUCCCCUGGAGUGUGAGCUCUGUUCCCCUGGAGUGUGAGCUCUGUUUCCCCUGGAGUGUGAGCUCUGUUCAUCUGGAGUGUGAGCUCUGUUCCCCUGGAGUGUGAGCUUUGUUCCCCUGGAGUGUGAGCUCUGUUCCCCUGGACUGGGAGCUCUGUUCAUCUGGAGUGUGAGCUCUGUUCCCCUGGAGUGUGAGCUUUGUUCCCCUGGAGUGUGAGCUUUGCUUUUUUCAAAUGAAUGUUCUUCAUUAAAUUUCCCUUACAACAGGGCCAGAGAUACAUACUUUGCUCACAAAAGAGACUCUUUAUCCUGAUCUUCAGACAUGUGUUUAAAGAGCAAGAGAGAUUCUAAAGUUUACAAAAGAAAGGGAAACAAUAGCAUUCAGAAAAAUGCCAACAAGUUCUAGGAAGAACUAGAAAAAAAAAAACAGUCCCUGGAAUAUGUGGGAUUAAAGGACAUUUAUAAUUUAUGGGAGAAAAAGAGGUCUAUAAUUUGAUACUUUCAGAAUCUCCUUACCAAGAUAAGGCAUCUAGAAUAAAAUAUGCACUAAAUGCAAACUAUUUGAGCCUACGUACUCCACUACCAGCUACAAAAAUCUUUGGGAAUUUUUCAAGGUGGAUAAUGUUCCAGGUUGGAUUGUAUCCUCCCCAGCGUAGUCUUCACCCCCAUGAAUGUAACCUUAUCUAGAAACAGAACCUUUGCAGACUCGACCGAGUUAAGAUGGCUUUGUGGGCUGUUAUCAAUUACGACUGUGCUCUUCCAAAGGGGGAAUUCGGUCAGAGGAACAGAAGCAUACAGAAGAGACGAUGCUCAGACAUAAACAGAAGGCUAGAAUGGUGGCUCAGGACUUCAGGGCACUUGCUACGGCAUCAUGAGGACCGGAGUUUUGACGAAGCAUCUUUGUAAACACCCUGGGUGCUCAUAACACCAGUUUCAAGAGGUGGACAUAGGAUAGCUGGGUUUACUGGUUGCCAGCAGAGCUGAGGACAAAAAUGUGCACCCCAAGUUCAAGAAUAGACCCUUCCUCCAAAGAACCGGAAGGGGGUGGUAGAAAAGAUGCCCAGUGGCUCUUCUGGCCUCCAGGCUCAUGCACAAUGUGCCUAUGCAAUGUGCAUGUAUGAACAUAUGCAAAAAUGGACAAAUGGAAGAAAUUAAUAAGAUAGGCAUGGGUGGAAUACCAUCUAAAAGCCCAAAGCCAGGGUGCACUCAGGGUUAUCAGAAGCCAGCAAAGAAACAUAGCACAGAUUCUCCCUUCAUCUCUGGAAGAAAACAAGUGCUGGCACCUGAUUCUGGAAGUCUUGCCUCCAGCUCUACAGGGGGAUACAUUUCUGAUUUUUUAAGCUACCUAGCUCAUGGUUCUUUGUGAUGGCUGUGCUAGGACUACAUGCAGAUUCUCUUCUUAAUAUGUAUCUUUGAGGUUGCAAUUUGGUCACCAUGUCUCCUUGGCACUCCAAGGAGAACAGCAGCUUUGCCCAGACUGCCUUUGUACCCGACCACCUGGUCCACUCCAUGUGGCCAUCUAUGUGAGGCCAGUUCCAAAUUUUGCCAGACCAAAGCAACCAGGACGGAGAAUCUGUUAUAAACACUCACACAGUCCAUUAUGAAGCCAAGUACAUUUUGCUUUGAACAUAAAUCAAAGUAGAAUGAAGGGGAACCUGAUCAUCAGAAAAGAUUCAGAGUUCAGCGAUGUCUUUUGGCCAAAUAGCCCUGUAGCCUAGUUAAUAAUUUGGUCAAAAGAAAAAAAAAAAAGAAAAAAAAAAAACCACCACAGGGGAAUUACAAACAGCUGUCACGGUCAUUUACUGGUGGUUCCAGAGCACAGAAAGGCUUCUGCUCCUUUGAACAUGGGGCAGUUCAUCGGUCCCCUGUCAGACAGUGUAAACAACAGUUAGCAGUUACCCCAACGAUCCUUGGAAGUUGUGUUUAUAAACACCAUCUGUGCAGCUUGUGGUCUCUCCGCUCCCAGUAAGUAUUUAUAAUGUGUCAGAGCUAUCAGAAAAAAUAUACAUACACCUGGAGCAACCUGUGGAGAUUCGACCAAACUCUGCCUGUUGCACAAUAAAUGAUUACAACCGGUGAAAUUGGAGAAAACGUCACACAGAAGGACAUGAGUCUCCAGUAAAGUGAGUAGAUAAACUUGGUGGAUCAACCCUCCAGCAAAGGCCUCCUGAGCUGUUUCCACAGGAAAACUAGGGCAGAGAGAAUCACAAAAGUCUUGGCUUCCAUCCACCCACUGGGCCUGCUAACACAGGCCCGGCUUCCACAACACUGGAUCUCAUUGGGCUUCAGAAGACAUACCUGCAUUAAAACUGAGUAGGCAGGAGAGGAGGCACUGGGGGUGGGAAGAAACUGGGACCCAGAAGGAGGUGGGCACUGUGAUGGUGUCUUCCUUCUUGUGGCUGGGAAAUACCUGGAUGUGUGAUCAUUAUCUAUCUGCUACCUUCAUCUGGGAUUUCAAAUGUUUUGUACUAUAGAGCUCUCAGGGGGCUCUUGAAGCAGCUUGUGUUAAGCCAGAAUGUCCACCCCUCACAAAAAAACAAAAAACAAAAAAACAAACAAAAAAAAAAACAAUGUGGUCUUUGCUAUAGAAUCCUCAACUACUUUUGUGCUGUGGGUCAUUUUUACAGAGCCUGUGACUCAUAUUCCCAGUAAUAUUUUAUAAUAUGUGUGACAUGCAUAAUUACAAAUAAACCAGUAUGUUGAAAUACCAUAAUAAUAUUUUAUAUUAUAAUAAUAAUAUUUUACAGGAUAUAUUAUGUAUAAUUACAGACAGCACUAGCUAUGUUGAAAUAUCACUAUUACAUCCAUUGUUUAAUGGUAAUAAACUGACAUAAUG